UAAUAACACAGAAUAAACAUACACACUUAAUACAUUAGAAAAAGGUCCCUAGCAGACUGACACAAUAUGGUGGCUUUUUACACAAUGACAUGGAGAGGGAGAGAGAGAGAGAGAAAAAGAAAGAGACUUAUUGUUGAUACAUUUUAGAAACUAUUCUCACAGUAAUCAUAUUCUUUGCACACAAAGUAAGAAAUGAUGAAUGUAUUUAUGUGUGACUGCCUUCGUUUGCCGUUUAUCUCUGUUGGAACCAGCCCUACUUAGGAAGGUUGUUGGCCUUUCAGUGGCACGCUUGUGUGGCUCUGAUUGUCCGAAAUGGGUCUCCCCUUUCCCGUCUGCUACUGUUGUUCACUCAGGGAGAUGCUCCUUGGAAGGUAGCCAGCCAGCCGUGUCGACAGUUCCCAUUGGUGAUGAGAGUAGUAGGAUACGGUGAUUUGAGAAGAGUAGUAGGAUGGUCCCACUUAAAUUUGCUGUUCUAGAUAUUUGACUUAGAACAGCUAAUCAGCCGUACCAGUGAUUGUCUGAAGAUGAGCUUUUUCCUGCUUAUUCAUGUUGAUAUUCAAGGUUCAAACCACUCUGGACAUGAGCUGUAGCUCUACACGCCUCUCUGGUCUGGGAGGUGAGUUUAUUUUCUUCACCUCGUGUUGAGGUUCAAAGUUCCAACCAUUUCAAACGCCUUUCUGGUCUAAUGUUAAUUUCCAUACCAGUCCUUUUAUGCACUCUGGCCGAAGGGGACGGUUCCGUCAGUCUGACACGCUCUCUGACCUCACUUGGGGCGUGGCUACUUACUAUGCACAGUUUAUAGGAGAUAGAUUCUCUUAUGGCUCCUAAAAUCCCAUUCCUAUCUUAACAUAUUUUUUCAUUACUCAUAUACAAUGUAGAGGAUGAAGAUUUGACAGAUAAAGGGGAUAUACUUUCCAAGUUACAGUAUUUCCUUUAUAACCUUUUUAAUGACAUCACAAAAUAAUAACCAAUAUGAUAUUAGUUUUCUAUAGAUCUUCUCUGACCAUUCCCCAAGUUUUUAUUUUAGAAAAUUUGUUCCAGUAUUCAUUUAAAAACUGUUAGAGUUUUGCCAGGAAAAGGUCUGUUAACUGAGAGAGAGUCUUCUCCUUUAAUUUACAACCGGGCAUGAGCUGUCAACCUGGCCCAGUUCCCUCCUCCCCCUCUCUGUGGGUGAAAGGGGGUCUUGUUGAGUUAUUCAUUGCAAACCUGAUCUGACCCACUCAGAUCCUCACAGGACAGUCAUGACAGCAGGACCCAACGGUUACCUCCCACAGGCGGGAGAGGUAGGAUUCUCACUGCUGUGCAGGAAACUGCAAUCAUUGAUAUGGUCAUCAGAAACAAUGAUGUAAAACUCACAGAGAUUCAGGACAGAGUGUUGGAAGACAACAUUACAUUUGGAAAUAUUCACAAUGUAAGCAUAACAACUAUUUCUAGAGUCCUGAAACAACAUCAAGUCAGGAUGAAGCAGUUGUACACUGUCCCCUUUGAGAGGAACUCCGAACGAGUCAAGCAACUCAGGAACCAAUAUGUCCAGGACAAUUACCCAAAACACAUCUCCAGACUGUAAGGGCCAUUUGACCAAGAAGGAGAG